UGGGGAAUAUUGGACAAUGGGCGGAAGCCUGAUCCAGCCAUGCCGCGCGUGUGAAGAAGGCCUUUUGGUUGUAAAGCACUUUAAGCGAGGAGGAGGCUACUUGGAUUAAUACUUUAGGAUAGUGGACGUUACUCGCAGAAUAAGCACCGGCUAACUCUGUGCCAGCAGCCGCGGUAAUACAGAGGGUUCGAGCGUUAAUCGGAUUUACUGGGCGUAAAGCGUGCGUAGGCGGCUUCUUAAGUCGGAUGUGAAAUCCCUUAGCUUAACUUAGGAAUUGCAUUCGAUACUGGGAAGCUAGAGUAUGGGGGAGGAUGGUAGAAUUCCAGGUGUAGCGGUGAAAUGCGUUGAGAUCUGGAGGAAUACCGAUGGCGAAGGCAGCCAUCUGGCCUAAUACUGACGCUGAGGUACGAAAGCAUGGGGAGCAAACAGG
rnacentral:rRNA from 1 species